GUGCUCACUUCGGCAGCACACACUAAACCAGAAUGAUACAGAGAAGACGAGUGUGGUCCUGCACAAGGAUGACACGCAACUUCGUGAAGCAUUCCAUUUUUUU